UUCAUCAACUUCAUGAAGGCCAUCUAGGCGAGAAUAGAUUUGUAUGGUAACAAGCAAAUAAGGUGUUAAAGUAGAAAACUUCUUCAAAGAAUUCAAAUGUAUUACAAUUGUCGCAUGAAGUUCAAAGUGGGACAACGAAUAUACAAAAUGAAAUUUCCUCUUUAAUUUCACACCAAAAGAAUUUCUUUAUAUGAAAAACAACAGUUCAAAAUAGGCUGAAACUUAGCGCUGCACUAUCCGUGCCAGAUACAGAAUUCGGCGACAUGUGACAAAAGCCACUGACAUGCAAUGCACAGACUACAACAGUGAAUGAUUAAAAUUUUUCCCUUCUCAUACAUUAUGUUGUGCUUUGAACAUCGAGGUUUUCACGCUUACCUGGCAGUGGCUAUUGGCGUGUAUUCUCACCUCCCUCUGUUGCUGGUGUUAGGAUGGUGUCGUGGUGAUCUAGGACAGGCCCCUGUGAGGACCCACGAAUUACGUCCAUGUG